UAUUAAGUCUUCAAAAAAUAUUUAGAAAAAAAUCAGAGAGGAGAACAUCAUGAUCUGAGAGACCAUCAACCAUCAUGAAGAAUGUAUUAUGUCUAGAAGGAUAAAAAGAUGAGUAUGAGACUGUAUUAAAUCUUCAAAAGUAUUUAGAAAAAAUCAGAGAGGAGAACAACAUGAUCUGAGAGACCAUGGAACCAUUGUGAAGAAUGUAUUAUGUCUAGAAGGAUAAAAAGAUGAGUAUGAGGAAACAGUUUGCAUUUACCCUCUACUUUUGCCCGUGUGUGGAUUGCUCUAUCAACUUCUGAGUAGCUGGAUCCUAGACCUACAUCUGAAUAAUCCAGCACGGAUCUACUAGAUCUAUCCUAGAACACGCCAUCCAACAACGUGAAUGUUGUCCAUUGCUGAGUUUAACUCAGGACUCUCUCAAAUAAAUAAUGUACCCUAA